ACAUUAAAAUAACUCAGACACAACAUAACAAUAACUCAGGGAAAACAUAACAAUAACUCAGGGAAAACAUAACAAUAACUCUGCCACAACAUAACAAUAACUCAGCUACAACACAACAAUAACCUAAUCACAACUACACCCUAACUCACUCGAAACAUAGCCCUAACUCACUCGAAACAAAACCCCAAAUCAAUAUUUAACGUCACGACAUCCUACCGAAAAGACGAACUUGUAGAUAUGAAUGCGGCGAAGACGAUUUCGUACAAACGAACGAUAACGAUAACGAUAACGGAGAUCUCACAGUUAUUUUUAGGAAGAGGAAGUAAACACAAUGUCGACGGCGAUUUCGUAUCCUUGCGGUUCCUUCUCCGUUUCCGACAAUGUUUUUUUUCUUCUAAUUGUUAGUUCAAUCAAUGUUACUGGUUGAUGAGACUAUCUGAGCAUAAAAGUAAAUAAAACUAACCAAAGACUAUUUAUGUCAUUUACCAGAGGUAACAAAACAUUCUCGCUUUUAUCAAUUUGAUUUAACGGCUGAGUUAUAUAUUAAUAAACGCAUAGUUUUGUUUACAUACGACUGAGUUAAAACAACUUAAAAGUUAAUAAAGGCUGAGUUACAUAACACGCGAAAGCUGACUUAUGUGACAAAACAUGACUAAACAGAGAAGUAGUAGUAGCAAAGUAUCGCCAUUCCAGCCACACAAACAACCACAUUCCUCAAACACCGACUCUCACUCAAACAUUCGCC
rnacentral:lncRNA from 1 species